GAACUACAGCAGAUGAAAAAAAACGUUAAAAAUUAUUUAACAACAUACACAGAAGAUGACUUGCAUUUAUCAAACGGUUCUUUUAAAAUUCGAGAAACUCUCCCUGAUGCAAACAGACGCAUCAAACAUUAUCUCCGACACUCUAUUUAUUUUUAUAGUUACAACAUCUCGUUUACAGUCAUUUCAUGCUGUAUAUAGCACUGAUUGUUUUUUCUUGCAAGAUUAAGAGCAGAGUUUCCAACUGUCAUCCUCAAGGUCACAGGCCUGGCAGAAAAUUCUUCUCUCAUUUUUUGCAAGCUGUAAAGUAAUAAAAUGACCCCAAAACCAAACCAGACAAUCGCGCUUAGGUUCAAGAAAGUAAGGGAGUAUCUGUUCUGUGACAAUUUCUUCUGCAAGACGGAAAGUAUUAGCAAAAUCAGAGGUGGGAACUUGCAGCCUGAGUGACGGCCGUACAUCAACGGCUGCCACAGGUGGCAUGAAGAACCCAAGUGACCGAAUGCUGAAGCGAUGGGUGCUGCGGUCUGUGACGCACAGUUAACGGGAGUUCAAAUAAUGCAGGUUCUGAAAGGUUUGCAAAGCAUUGCCUAUUUCCUAUCUGUAAAUCCAGCAUUUCCAGCGUGUGAAAUCCAAACACCGAUUGCGGGCGCUUCAGUAACAAUCACUCCAAAUUGAAGAAGGCACACUGAGCCUUGUAUGGCCACAGACCUUUAGCUGAGACCAGACAACAAUAAUCUAGUCUCUAAAGUAUGCAAAAAGCAUGAGAGAGCAUCAGGCUGACUGGCUGCGUGUCAAGUCCUACUUGUAAAAGAGGCAACGGCUGCUAAUCGUGUUGUUCCCUGGAAGGAAAAUCCUUAAGUGUUUAUCAGAUGCAGGCGUAAUACAAGUUCACUGAAACUGCCGCUGCUUUUAAGUCAGGAAAGAAGAGGUGGAGUCCGUGGCUGUGUUUUCCUUUCUGUGAGAAGCUCUGGGCGAUCCCCCGACGGCUGAAUAGCCUCUCCAGGCCUUGCUCUUAGGCUGUAAAAUAGGAGCAUCGGUACAUCUUUUCCUCAUAGAAGCAUUUUCUGGAUAAAAUUGCGAGGUACUUAAGUGCAACAGUACCGGAGUUUGCACAAUAACGGGUUAAAUGUUUCUUCAUUAUUUGAUUAAUAGCCUAUUAACACAGCUGGACAAAUAAGUGAAAGUACAUUUUGUCUCUGUUUUAAGAAAAUGGACAAUUUUAUCUAUUCUUAUCUUAACAGAGUAUUUUAGCGAAGAGGUUUGAAGAAAUCUGUGGCAAAGAAUGCUUGUGAAACAGCUAAUCUUAGAUAAAUAAAAGUUGAAGUAUUGAAAGAAGGCAAAUGUUGAAGUCUAAGACAAAACUAUUUUCAAAAGGAGCCUGGUUUCACUCACAUGAGCUAUUUAUCAAGUGCUCUGCAAGGAUAGGGUUUCAAAAAAAUGUAAAUGGCUCAGAGUAUUUAGGCCAAAAACUUAUUGCAGAAAAUUACUUAGAGAAUAUUAGUAAAUGUGAGAAUUGGAAAGUGUUCAAUGGCAAUUCAUAGACAAAGUAUUUUUUCCUAAUAUGCUUGUCCCCUGGA